GCCUCUAUGGCCUAAUGGACAUGGCGUUAUUCCUGAGGCAAAGGUUCUAGGUUCGAGUCCUAGUGGGGGCG